CACUUUUAUUUUUCCUACUGGUGGUACUUCAGAAUCCUGGCAUCUCACUCAUUGUGGCUGGGGAGUGAGGACCUUUCAUACAUCAUAAAUGUUGGCGUUUAACUAGAGGUAUUAAGAAACAACAGUUUCCAGCUUGGCGGGAGUAAAUGCGUCCAAAACCAGAUGUUUGUUGUGAAGAAAUGAGGUUCUUGUACCCACAGCUCAUGUUCACCAGGCUGUCAUGCCAUUCUUUCUGCAUGGCCAAGGAAACUUAGUCAUUGUGGUUUUUGACCAGUAAGUUGCAUCCUUGCAGAGUCUUAAGUAACUUUUGCAGCCACUGGAACAUCCCUGCAGUACUAUAACAGCAUGAAAGUUGCUUGCCUGUUACACUUCGGAGGAGACACAUGGGUUGGCCAUGUCUGGUUUGCUCAGUGCUGGAGAAGACAGUGACAAGGGACAAAGCUGGAUGAGUCACUCCCAUGACCUGCAGUUCCUUCCCAGCUGCCCUUUUUCCUAUGGGAGUUUUCUUCAUGUGACUGGAAGCACAUCUGCCACGGGACCAAAACACAGACACUUUAAUCAUGAGGCAGGUGGGCUGCAGGGCAGCUGGUGAUGAGCCAGUGGGUGUUUGUGUGUCGCAGCCCACGUUGAGAUGAAUACCUGCUUUGUAAUAAACCCCUGGAAGUCUGUAAUGUGACAUGGAGAAAUGGAAGUGUCUGCCCUGCAUGGUUCAUCCAGAUUACAUGGAGCUUGCUUUCCAAGGGAUAAGCAUCCCUUAAUCUCAGCUGGAGACCACAUUGCAGCCCAAAUAAUCUUCUGCCAAAAGUGGAUGUGUUUUUUGAACGUUGGAGGUACUGUGAAUUCUUCAAAAGCCUUGGCACAGCUGUAGCAAACUACUUAAUUUCUUUUGUGGCUUAUUUCUUCUUUGAGCAGGAAGGUACUAAUUAAUGUUUGGCACACUCAUUCUUUUGCUUCCCAGUGUACUAAUAGUACCUUUCCCCCCUCCAAAUUCACAAAAAACAUGCGUAUUCCUGGCUUCCAUGAACUUCAUUGUUCUAUUGAGAACGAACACAGACCUUUAUUUUGUGACGUAUUCACGGUUCAGUUGCUCUUAGAGAAAUAAAUAAAUAAAUAAAUAACGCUCUCAUUAGAUUUUUCUAAGAGAUAAGAUACCAUAAAAAUCAGUAAACAUAGUAAUACCGCAUUUGUGUGCUCUUAUCUCCUCAAUAAAUAUGAAGGAGUUUAAACAUCUGUAAGAAACUGGAGUUUUUAACCAUGUAGGAAUAAGAUACUGAAUGAAUGAACUGAGUGUUUGAAUGUUAUGUUCUAGUUUUCUACAAAGUAGCAUCUCUGUAACUACAGAUGUAUAUAAAUAUUUGUUUUUUCAGGAGUAAAGGCAUUAAUUUUGUUGGGUAUGUCUUAACUACGUUUUUGAUUCAUACACAUUUGGUCUUAUAACUAAUCUGAUUUUCAACCUCCAUUGACAGGCCAAGUCACCAUUUACUCCAUGAGCUUAAUAUGUAAAGCCAUGUUCAGCAGUGUCUGGGAAACACUUGACCAUAGGAGUUAUGAGUACCAUCAGAAAGGCUCCAUGGAAUGAUGGUUUUGGAUCCAUUAUAUCCCUCGAGGGUAUACAGAAAACAAGGCAGGGACAACUAACUAAAUAUGGUUAAAAUAAUAUGGCCUCAUUUCUUCUGUGAAGAUGGUCUAGCUGUGCAAUUAGGAACAAAUAGGUAGUGACAUUACCUAUGAGACCAAAACUAUGGUUUCACAGUAUCCCCUAAACCCAUGUAACAGAAAAAUAUUAUUGCAAAUACCAUAUAUACAUAUAGAGAGUGCAUAUAUGGAGAGUGCAUAUAUAUUACCUGUAUAGAGAGGGCACAUAUGUAUGUCUAGUAAUGUUCCUAGAUUAACAGGUCAUUAUUAGUUCAUUAACUAUAGUUUUGUGUUUAUAGUUGUCUCUAAUACCAUUUCUCAAAACAUUUUUCUUACUUUUAAUAUCUGUGCCAUUCCAUUAUUUAUUUUGCCUAUUGUGAAGCUGGUUAGAAAAUUAUAAUAACUCUAUAAACCAUAUCUGGGUAGUUUUUUAAAAUACUUGUUUGUGGAGCGGCAUCAGACAAUAAAACAAAAUUAUAUUCUCCGUUUGUGUGCAAACAGACAAGUUUAUAUAUAUAUAUAUGUAUAUAUGUAAAAAAACAACUUUGAACUUCAUUAAGACAUCACAUCCCCUUCGUGGAACUUUUUUUUUCCUUUCUACAAGUAUUAUGAUUUUUUCCAAGAUCCUGAAAUUCUGUUAAUUUCUCCUUUAUAGGUAGACUUUAAUUCUUUCUUAUGCAAGCCAAACCCAUUUUUCAUUAAGUGACUUUAAUUUAUAAAUUUCAAAUUGAAGUAAUUAUUUUCAAUGAACUUCCCUAAGCUGAACUGAAGUAAUCACAAAACCUUUAGUGAAUGGGAAGGAAGGCAAAAAUUUAGGCCUCACCUAAACACCAAAAUCUGAUUCUUAAUUUGUGUGUGUUUCUAAAUUGAUUAUUGGGGAUAUUGAAGGUGAUCUGUUAAGGGAACACUGUGGUGAUGUUUUCCUGUGUGACAAGGAAAGGCUCACCAGAGCAUGGUUGGUUAUGAUGGACAGGCUCACUGAUACUUAUUGGAAGCAUAAAAGGGACAACGUGGUUAAAGAGAAUGCAGGGAUAUCAAUGUUUAACCUGGUGACUGUGUUACAGUGUAAAAAUAGCUGGCUACACUUAAACCAGCUGCAGGAGCCUGGAGCUCAGUGACAUCAAUUAGUUUACUUUCCUAAUGAGCUUGCAAUGCUGAGGUACCUGCGUCACUUUAUUUCAAGGCCAGCUUUAGUUUGCUUUCCUGGAGAGUGGAAACUGAAAGCAGUAGCAAGAAAAGAUGCUGUUACAUGGUUCUAAGCCAAACAGAAAUCCAAUUUUGACUCUGGCCUAUUCUAACUGCUCAUUAAGUUCAAGCAGUUUCCACUUCAGUGGCCCAUACAUGUUGAGUACUUGAUAAUCAGCUCUGUGACUGAGCUAGGUAAUUACUGAAGCAGUGAUUUUAGGGUUGGGGAUUUUAAUUUCUGUGAAUAUUUUUUGCUGUGAAAUAGUCUACUGCAUAAUGAAUUUUGGCAUGGCCAUAUUACAUUUUCUCUCAUAAAUUUUCUUUCACAUAUUUUUAGGAUCACUCCUAGUACUUUCAGGAGUUUACGAAAGAUUACGGUCUCCUUUAUUUCAGCAAAAUCAAACAGCAUUUAGUAGACACAGGAAAUAAUCAAUCAGUCAAUCCAGCUUCUGUUUUUGAAAUGUAGGUAACUGUGUAGCAGGUUUAUUUGUGUGUUUGUAUGUAUCAUUACCACUCUCUUCUGUAAGCUGUAGGAGCUAUCAGUGGUAUCCUUGUGUAACACUGGCUAGAUAUUCUUCCUCAUUCCUGUUAAAUUCAGGGAUUUAACAGAGUAUGGCAUUUAACUUACACUAAACCUAAAAAAAUUGUCAGCUAAAAAUGUCUAUUUCAAAUUAUGCUAAAUGACAAUGAAUUUCUGACAUUAAUAAUGAAGUUUUGAAUAUAGGUAUUACCUUGCUUUAAAAUCCAUAGGUCAUGUCAUAGCUGCAGGCAGCACACAGACAGCUACAAUGCUCUGUUCCUUUAACUGCUUUCAUUAAAUAUUUCUGAAAUUAAUUUGAAAUAUUUUAUAAUAUAUUGAAGUUAAGAGGUGAUUAUGGAUAACCUUGUGCCUGUAGUUUCAUAGUAAAUGAACUUAAAAUCGUCCAUAGCAAAGCAUAGAUAAAUUUGAUUUAUACUGAUAAAACAACUCCUUCCAUUAUCGAAGAUAAAGCAGGGUGACAAGCUGGGAAGUCAAUAUUGAUUUACCAGUAUAUGAAAAUAACAAUAAAAUAAUUUUUACAAGAUUGAUUGUUGUCAGUCAUUCUGUGUUUACAGGCAUUGCUGAUAGUAAAAGUUGAAAGAAAUUGUAAUUUUUUAAAUAGAAAAAUAAUUCUUCACAUUUUCUCAAGACUGUUUUGAUGUAGCCAAGUAUUUAUUUCCUCCCACAGAUUUAAAUAUUACAAUUUAAUAGCUUCUUCUUUUUGAUACACACCAUUAGACCCUUUCACAGAAGUAACUUGUCACUGUAUAUUUAAAUCAUGAAUCAGCAAGUCCCAUAGGAGAAAUGAGCCUCUCUAAUGGGAUACUUCUUAUCCAUUUUUGGCUUGUCUGAUAUUCUAUGUAUCCAAAUUAACAUAAUAAGAUUUAAAUUCACACAACAGAUGCAUCAUGAAAGUACAUACAUGUGUGUUUAUAUUGGGCACACAAAUGUUUUGGGAGAUCCUCCAGUAAUUUCAUUAUUGAGUUACACAAUAGAUACAGGUUUAGCCAGAUGUCUAAAUCAUCCAUAUCCUGUCACAUAGGAUAAUCUACAAGAGUAGUUCUAAUAAACUGAUUUUAAUGCAAACACUAUGUUUUCAGACAUUUUCACAUUAGACAUAAUUUCCUAGAAUGUAAUUAUUUUUCCAUUAUCUAUUGCAGAAAAUACAUCAACCAUACUGCUUAGCUUUGCUUAGUUGGCAUAGCCAUCAUUAAAUCUUUGAUUAUUUUCAUGACUAUACAAAGUCUUUUCCUUGAUGAAUCCUUUGAAACGCACUUAAACUAAUAACUGAUUUUCCUAGAAAAAAUAGUUCUUGCCUUUUCCAAAAUAGCAACAAUUUUAAGCCUUUAAGAAACUACAAGAAGGAAUUUCAGCCUUUGACUUAAAGCAUGAAAGGAUAAGUAGUGUUAUGAGAAGGUACAAAGUCAACUGAUCAGCAAAAUAGACCUGCUCUGUUCAAAAUUAGACAACCUGAACAUGGUUAGAAGGAAAGUAGUACCCAGUAAGUAGAGGUAGAGAAUGGAAGGGAUGAAAAGUGCUCAGUUCCUUUAUUUGUUUUAAAUGGGAGGGAAUAUGGGUGUGGAACACUGCUGCAGUCAGGAGGAUUUUAGCCAUAGAUAAUACAAAUGUGGUCAUGAUUUUUCCUUUUUUAAGGAGUGAUUCUGAAUCCAGAAGAUUACAGACUGGGCUGUGAAUGCUUUUGUCACCUAUUCCUGAAUAUUCCCAAGUUCUUCCUAUCAGGCAUAACAGCGGAAAGUUUCUUUCACAUUUUUACCUGUCAGUCUGCAGCAUGGUUGUAUAACACGGCAAAGCAUCAUUAAACAUUUUGGUGAACUGUUUUGUAUUUCAAGACUUUUAUUAUGGAUAAAAGGAAUAUUAAAAAGAAGUAACUGUGGUAAAGUAAAAAAAAAGGACUCUGCAGUGAUUUGGAAUUCUAGAGCAGAGAAUUAGUCUUCCAAACAGAAUCCAAUUCACUGGGGACAAGGAAUCUAUGGACUCUGAUUUCAGCUGUUCAGAAUUUUCAACUGGCUUAGCAAAAUCUUGAGGCAAGUCAGUUCUUCCUCUUAAAAGGCUUUGCUGCCACACUGUGGAAAAAACAUUUAUUCUGUUUUAACUGUUUUACUGUUACAAAUAGCACAUCAGCUGAGUUCCUAUCUCUCCCCAGCAUACAAUCCACCCUGCAGAAAAGACUGCCAAAGAACUGUAAAAUAAAAAUACCGUGGUGGGAUAGUUAACAAUCUAGUUUCAGUUUCAGCUUUGACCUUAGUUGCAUAUUCUAAGGCAGGAAAACAAUGGUAAUAACAUGAA